GGAUAUGAGGGUGAUCUGGCUGUGAUAUCUGUCCCCCAUUGAUUGCCAGGGAUGAUCCAGCUGAUCUGGAUGCCUAGGCAGGUGUCCCCUUCCCUCCUCACCACUCCAUGUGCAUCCCUCCUGAAGGUGCACUGUGGGUUGAAGAGGACAGCCUUCCCCAGUAGAGGAGGACUGUUCUUUCAUCCAGGAUAUCUGAGUGGCCAUGCUAUCCUGCUAGAACCUCCAAACAAGCUCCCGAGAUUGAGCCUCGGGGGUCCUCAGAAAGUAGAUGGUAGUUGGCACAAUUGGAAAAGUAUAG
ensembl:misc_RNA 7SK 7SK RNA